GUCGACUGGACAUUAUCUAGGCUCUUUUUGUAAGUAUAUGGUCUCACACAAGGCGAGCGAUCGUAGCCUGUCGGAGAGAUGAUACAGCAACAUUCGGACUGAGACACGUCGAUCUACGGGAGGCAGCAGUGGGGAAUAUGACAUGGCGAAGCUGAUCAGCAUGCGCGGUGUGUGAGAAGGCUCGGGUGUAAGCACUUUCAGUGGGGAGAAAGCUGGGGCUAAUACCCUCGAGGAAGGACAUCACCCACAGAAGAAGCACCGGGCUAACUCCGUGCCAGCAGCCGCAGUAAUACGGAGGGUGCGAGCGUUAAUCGGAAUUACUGGGCGUAAAGCGCGCGUAGGCGGUCUGAUAAGCCGGUUGUGAAAGCCCCGGGCUCAACCUGGGAACGGCAUCCGGAACUGUCAGGCUAGAGUGCAGGAGAGGAAGGUAGAAUUCCCGGUGUAGCGGUGAAAUGCGUAGAGAUCGGGAGGAAUACCAGUGGCGAAGGCGGCCUUCUGGACUGACACUGACGCUGAGGUGCGAAAGCGUGGGUAGCAAACAGGAUUAGAUACCCCGGUAGUCCACGCCGUAAACGAUGUCGACUAGCCGUUGGGCUCCUUGAGAGCUUUGUGGCGCAGUUAACGCGAUAAGUCGACCGCCUGGGGAGUACGGCCGCAAGGUUAAAACUCAAAUGAAUUGACGGGGGCCCGCACAAGCGGUGGAGCAUGUGGUUUAAUUCGAUGCAACGCGAAGAACCUUACCUACCCUUGACAUCGUGCGAACUUUCCAGAGAUGGAUUGGUGCCUUCGGGAGCGCACAGACAGGUGCUGCAUGGCUGUCGUCAGCUCGUGUUGUGAAAUGUUGGGUUAAGUCCCGUAACGAGCGCAACCCUUGUCCUUAUUUGCCAGCGCGUAAUGGCGGGAACUCUAAGGAGACUGCCGGUGACAAACCGGAGGAAGGUGGGGACGACGUCAAGUCAUCAUGGCCCUUACGGGUAGGGCUACACACGUGCUACAAUGGCCGGUACAAAGGGUUGCGAAGCCGCGAGGUGGAGCUAAUCCCGAAAAGCUGGUCUCAGUCCGGAUCGGAGUCUGCAACUCGACUCCGUGAAGUCGGAAUCGCUAGUAAUCGUGAAUCAGAAUGUCACGGUGAAUACGUUCCCGGGCCUUGUACACACCGCCCGUCACACCAUGGGAGUGGACUGCACCAGAAGUGGUUAGCCUAACUUCGGAGGGCGAUCACCACGGUGUGGUUCAUGACUGGGGUGAAGUCGUAACAAGGUAACCAAUCUCUAGAGAUCCCCGUUCCAAU
rnacentral:rRNA from 1 species